GUGAAUCAUCGAAUUUUUGAACGCAAAUUGCGCUUCCUAGCAUCCCGGGAAGUAUGCCUGUUGGAGGUUCAGUAUUAACAAAAAAAUCGGUUUGGUUGCAAAUUGUGACUCUUCCGGAGUUUGGGCUAUCUUAACUUUUUUGUUUAAGGGGCGUAAAAUUGAUCUUUUUUGCGCAUUUUUAGUCGUACAUUAAUUUUUUUUUUAUUCGUCUAUUAU
rnacentral:misc_RNA from 1 species